rnacentral:tRNA from 1 species
GGGAGCGUCGUCCAAUGGCAGGGCCCGCGGCCGAUGACCGCGUGACGGGGGUUCGAUUCCCUCCGCUCGUA